CUACGGGGGGCUGCAGUGGGGAAUAUUGGACAAUGGGGGAAACCCUGACCCAGCAAUGCCGCGUGUGUGAAGAAGGCCUGCGGGUUGUAAAGCACUUUCGGUUGGGAGGACUGCUUCUAGCACUAAUAUUGUUGGAAGUUGACGUUACCUUCAGAAGAAGCACCGGCUAACUCCGUGCCAGCAGUCGCGGUAAUACGGAGGGUGCAAGCGUUAAUCGGAAUUACUGGGCGUAAAGCGCGCGGAGGCGGCUAGAUCAGUCGGGUGUGAAAGCCCCGGGCUUAACCUGGGAACUGCAUCCGAUACUGUCUAGCUUGAGUACAGGAGAGGAGAGUGGAAUUCCACAUGUAGCGGUGAAAUGCGUAGAUAUGUGGAGGAACACCAAUGGCGAAGGCAGCUCUCUGGCCUGAUACUGACGCUGAGGUGCGAAAGCGUGGGGAGCAAACAGGAUUAGAUACCCCCGUAGUC
rnacentral:rRNA from 1 species